UCCUUAAUGUGUCUGUUGGUAUGCAUAUUUCUUGUCCUUCCCAUAUAUCAUUAUUGUGAUUUAAUAUUUGCUUUGCCAUCAGAAAGCACAGAAACAACCAGAGCAAAGAAGAAAUAACACUGAAAAAAGUUUUACUGAACAGCUAUUGAUGUUAAUAUGGCUGGCUACAAGGAGAAUUUUCCAUUCUUCCUUUCGCUUCUAGCUGCACAGACCAACCACUCAGCAGGAAAUUUUUACACGGCCUGAAAACUGCAUGGUACUUUAAAUGUUCAAAUGUUAAUAAAAUUCCAGCUGCACAGCAACAAAGGCUUUGUGCAUGGGAGCAUUUCAGUUACUGCGUGGCUGUACACCCGUACAGCUUAGAGGGAACAGUAAUCAUUACCUUGGACUUCUUAGAGGAAACACAAAUACAUUUUCCUGUUAACAAUUAACUUAAUUCAGCUACAUCAAAGUACAACUUCCAGCAUUCCACAGCUUGUGUCCUCCAAUAUGAAACAUGCUUCCUGCCUUGCUGAUCCCUCCUUGCUCAGAAAAUUCUCUUGACUUUCCAUCAAGAAAUGAUACUGUUAGUUUUCUUCACUCUUCAACUGCCCCUUUCCCCCAAAAUUUCUGUUUUUCACAACCUUCUGCGCAUGCUUCUGGGAAAUGAGUGUUUUGUAGGAACUCACACAGGAGAUGAGGUAGAUCAGCCAUGAUCUUAUUGAAUGGCAGGGAAUGCCUGAGGGGUUGUGUGGUCUUCACAUGCUCCUAUUUUCUUUUGUUCCAACCCACCAGAAGUGGUUCUUCAAGCACUGAAUUUUCUCUUCUCAUUUAAUUUUUUUGGCUAUUACACCCACUGUAGGUCCUGACUUACGCUGCUCCCUUUCUCUCUCCAAUAGUCACUCUCGCUGCUGCCAUUAGCUUUCCUACCCCUCUUUUGUUAAUUCUCCAUUUUCUUCACUACCAAAAUAUUCCUUCCUUCAAGUCUUUUAAUCCAAUAUACUUAUUACAAUUGGUGCUGGACCUUAGACAGAAAAUUCUCUCCAUAAUGUACAGAGCUGUCAAUCAAAGCAAGGUGUCAAGCAUGUGAGAAUAAGGAGUGCUUGCUGAUAGUAGAGACAUCAUCAAUGCUAACAUUAAUGUGCAAAUGUACAGACGUCUCCUGCAAGCUGACUGCCUGAUUUAAGCUUGUGUGUAAAAGAACUAUUAUCUUCACAUUGUUUGACAAAAGUAAACCUUAUGUGUGUCAUUCCAUAUUUAUCAUGUGUCCAUUUGUCAUAUAUGAAAGAUUAGGGAAAAGCUUCAGAAGUACUAAGUGACAAUUGUCUAUAUAAAGUGUUUAAGUACAAGUGUCCACGCAAUAAACAAACAAACAGUAUCCAGCAUUCAGCACACAUUUUACCUAGAGUGCCAAAUUCUUCAGAAAAAGGUUACU